UACGUAGGGUGCAAGCGUUGUCCGGAAUUAUUGGGCGUAAAGAGCUCGUAGGCGGUUCGUCGCGUCGGCUGUGAAAUCCCGAGGCUCAACCUCGGGUCUGCAGUCGAUACGGGCGGACUGGAGUUCGGCAGGGGAGACUGGAAUUCCUGGUGUAGCGGUGACAUGCAUUGAUAUCAGGAGGAACACCCAUGGCGAAGGCAGGUUACUGGCCGACAACUGACGCUGAGGCGCGAAAGCGUGGGUAGCAAACAGA
rnacentral:rRNA from 1 species